UGGGGAAUAUUGGACAAUGGGCGCAAGCCUGAUCCAGCCAUGCCGCGUGAGUGAUGAAGGCCCUAGGGUUGUAAAGCUCUUUCACCGGUGAAGAUAAUGACGGUAACCGGAGAAGAAGCCCCGGCUAACUUCGUGCCAGCAGCCGCGGUAAUACGAAGGGGGCUAGCGUUGUUCGGAUUUACUGGGCGUAAAGCGCACGUAGGCGGACUUUUAAGUCAGGGGUGAAAUCCCGGGGCUCAACCCCGGAACUGCCUUUGAUACUGGAAGUCUUGAGUAUGGUAGAGAUGAGUGGAAUUCCGAGUGUAGAGGUGAAAUUCGUAGAUAUUCGGAGGAACACCAGUGGCGAAGGCGGCUCACUGGACCAUUACUGACGCUGAGGUGCGAAAGCGUGGGGAGCAAACAGG
rnacentral:rRNA from 1 species